UGGGGAAUAUUCCGCAAUGGACGAAAGUCUGACGGAGCAACGCCGCGUGAGUGAUGAAGGUUUUCGGACUGUAAAGCUCUGUUGUUUAGGACGAAAGUGCCUGUUGCGAAUAGUUACAGGUAUUGACGGUACUGAACGAGGAAGCCACGGCUAACUACGUGCCAGCAGCCGCGGUAGUACGUAGGUGGCAAGCGUUGUCCGGAAUUAUUGGGCGUAAAGAGCAUGUAGGCGGGAAUCUAAGUCUGUUGUGAAAAUGCGGGGCCCAACCCCGUAUUGCGAUGGAAACUGGGUUUCUUGAGUGCAGGAGAGGAAAGGGGAAUUCCCAGUGUAGCGGUGAAAUGCGUAGAUAUUGGGAGGAACACCAGUGGCGAAGGCGCCUUUCUGGACUGUGUCUGACGCUGAGAUGCGAAAGCCAGGGUAGCGAACGG
rnacentral:rRNA from 1 species